GACGAACGCUGGCGGCGUGCCUAACACAUGCAAGUCGAGCGGGGAUGACUCUUCGGAGGCAUCCAAGCGGCGGACGGGUGAGUAACACGUGGGCAACCUGCCUCACAGAGGGGGAUAGGCUCUCGAAAGGGAGAUUAAUACCGCAUAAGAAGUAAGAGUCGCAUGACUCAAGCUUUAAAGGCUGUAUAUCUGAAAGGGUGUAUAGUCACUGUGAGAUGGGCCCGCGGCGCAUUAGUUAGUUGGUGAGGUAACGGCUCACCAAGGCGACGAUGCGUAGCCGACCUGAGAGGGUGAACGGCCACAUUGGAACUGAGAGACGGUCCAGACUCCUACGGGAGGCAGCAGUGGGGAAUAUUGCACAAUGGGCGGAAGCCUGAUGCAGCAACGCCGCGUGAGUGAAGAAGGUUUUCGGAUUGUAAAGCUCUGUCUUUGGGGACGAUAAUGACGGUACCCGAGGAGGAAGCCACGGCUAACUACGUG
rnacentral:rRNA from 1 species